CGGGAGCAAUCCUGGUGGCGAGUGGCGAACGGGUGAGUAAUAUAUCGGAACGUGCCCAGUCGUGGGGGAUAACGCAGCGAAAGCUGUGCUAAUACCGCAUACGAUCUAUGGAUGAAAGCGGGGGACCGUAAGGCCUCGCGCGAUUGGAGCGGCCGAUAUCAGAUUAGCUUGUUGGUGGGGUAAAAGCCCACCAAGGCGACGAUCUGUAGCUGGUCUGAGAGGACGACCAGCCACACUGGAACUGAGACACGGUCCAGACUCCUACGGGAGGCAGCAGUGGGGAAUUUUGGACAAUGGGCGCAAGCCUGAUCCAGCAAUGCCGCGUGCAGGAUGAAGGCCUUCGGGUUGUAAACUGCUUUUGUACGGAACGAAACGGCUCUUUCUAAUAAAGAGGGCUAAUGACGGUACCGUAAGAAUAAGCACCGGCUAACUACGUGCCAGCAGCCGCGGUAAUACGUAGGGUGCGAGCGUUAAUCGGAAUUACUGGGCGUAAAGCGUGCGCAGGCGGUUAUAUAAGACAGAUGUGAAAUCCCCGGGCUCAACCUGGGACCUGCAUUUGCGACUGUAUAGCUAGAGUACGGUAGAGGGGGAUGGAAUUCCGCGUGUAGCAGUGAAAUGCGUAGAUAUGCGGAGGAACACCGAUGGCGAAGGCAAUCCCCUGGACCUGUACUGACGCUCAUGCACGAAAGCGUGGGGAGCAAACAGGAUUAGAUACCCUGGUAGUCCACGCCCUAAACGAUGUCAACUGGUUGUUGGGUCUUCACUGACUCAGUAACGAAGCUAACGCGUGAAGUUGA
rnacentral:rRNA from 1 species